CCAAUCAACCAAAAAAGAAUGUGAAAGCAUUUGCAUCAUCAGAUAGUCUAGCUAAAGUCCAAGAAGUAGCAAGCUGGCUGUUGGAAAUGAAUCAGGAACUGCUGUCUGUGGGCAGUAAGAGGCGACGAACUGGAGCAUCUCUUAGAGGUAAUGCUUCCUCAAGCCAAGUAGAUGAAGAGCAGAUGAAUCGAGUUGUGGAGGAGGAGCAGCAGCAGCAGUUACGACAACAAGAGGAGGAGCACAUUGCAAGGAAUGGGGAAAUAGGUGGAGCAGAAUCUGGACUUGGUGACAGACUUGAAUCCCAGCAAGAACAGUUAGAAGAAAACAAUAAUAGGCUUAAUGCAGUGGAUGAAGAAUCCACUGGUAACCAAGAGGAUGAGGAAGAGGAAGAACAUGGUGCUGAACAAGAGGAGGAGAUGGAAGAAGAGGAGGAAAUGGACCAGGAGAGUGAUGAUUUUGAUCAGUCUGAUGACAGUAGCAGAGAAGAUGAACACACUAGCAGCAAUAGUGUCACAAAUUCAAAUAGUAUCAUGGAUUUGCCCAUACAGUCAUCUCAAUUUUACAUGAAGACAAAGAUGAAGAGAAAGUUGGACCAUGGCUCCGAGGUCCGUUCUUUCUCUCUGGGAAAGAAACCCUGCAAAGUCUCAGAAUACACGAGCACUACUGGACUUGUGCCAUGUUCAGCAACACCUACUACAUUUGGGGACCUGAGAGCAGCCAAUGGACAAGGACAACAGCGUCGCCGGAUUACAUCUGUCCAGCCACCUACAGGACUUCAGGAAUGGCUGAAAAUGUUUCAGAGCUGGAGUGGACCAGAGAAGUUACUUGCUUUAGAUGAACUCAUUGAUAGUUGUGAACCAACACAAGUGAAACAUAUGAUGCAAGUGAUAGAGCCCCAGUUUCAACGAGACUUUAUAUCCUUGCUCCCCAAAGAGCUGGCACUAUAUGUGCUUUCAUUCCUGGAACCCAAGGACCUUCUGCAGGCAGCACAGACGUGUCGUUACUGGAGAAUUCUGGCUGAGGAUAAUCUUCUGUGGAGAGAGAAAUGCAAAGAGGAGGGGAUUGACGAACCAUUACAUAUCAAGAGAAGGAAAGUAAUAAAACCAGGCUUCAUACAUAGCCCAUGGAAAAGUGCUUAUAUCAGACAGCACAGAAUUGAUACUAACUGGCGGAGAGGAGAACUUAAAUCUCCUAAGGUGCUCAAAGGUCAUGAUGAUCAUGUGAUCACAUGUCUACAAUUCUGUGGUAACCGAAUAGUCAGUGGUUCUGAUGACAACACAUUAAAAGUUUGGUCAGCAGUUACAGGCAAGUGUUUAAGAACACUAGUUGGACACACAGGUGGAGUCUGGUCAUCACAAAUGAGGGACAAUAUCAUUAUUAGUGGAUCUACUGACCGUACACUUAAAGUAUGGAAUGCAGAGACUGGAGAAUGUAUUCAUACAUUAUAUGGACACACAUCUACUGUGCGUUGUAUGCAUCUCCAUGAAAAAAGAGUUGUCAGUGGGUCUCGAGAUGCCACGCUGAGAGUUUGGGACAUAGAGACAGGCCAAUGUUUACAUGUUCUGAUGGGACAUGUAGCUGCAGUCCGGUGUGUUCAGUAUGAUGGGAGGAGAGUUGUUAGUGGAGCAUAUGAUUUUAUGGUCAAAGUGUGGGAUCCAGAAACCGAAACUUGUCUACACACACUGCAAGGUCAUACUAAUAGAGUCUAUUCACUACAGUUUGAUGGCAUCCAUGUAGUGAGUGGAUCUCUUGACACUUCAAUCCGAGUUUGGGAUGUGGAGACAGGAAACUGCAUUCACACAUUAACAGGCCAUCAGUCAUUAACAAGUGGAAUGGAGCUCAAGGACAAUAUUCUUGUGUCUGGGAAUGCAGAUUCAACAGUCAAAAUCUGGGAUAUCAAAACAGGACAAUGUUUACAGACAUUGCAAGGUCCCAACAAGCAUCAGAGUGCUGUGACCUGUUUACAGUUCAACAAGAACUUUGUAAUUACCAGCUCAGAUGAUGGAACAGUAAAACUUUGGGACUUGAAAACGGGUGAAUUUAUCCGAAAUCUAGUCACAUUGGAGAGUGGGGGAAGUGGAGGUGUCGUGUGGCGGAUCAGAGCCUCCAACACAAAGCUAGUAUGUGCAGUGGGAAGCCGAAAUGGGACUGAGGAAACAAAGCUGCUGGUGUUGGACUUUGACGUGGAUAUGAAGUGAAGGACAGAAAGAUGAAUUUGUCCAAAUGCGUAGACGAUGUUUCCCCUCCCUCCCCCACAAAAAGAAGAAAAAAAAUCCCCUGCCCUUGGUGGUGCAGGAUGUUGGCUUGGGGCAACAGAUCCUAAAGACCUACAGACGAUGAAGAAGGAGACUGUGAGAUGACAAACUGUAACUGACAAGAGAGGCAUUUGCUGUCUCAUCACAUAAAAAGCUUCACUUUUGACUGGGGCGGCUUUGCAAAUAUAAGACUUUCUAAAUCAAACCAGAAGAGAAUAUACAGUAUCAAAUGAAAAGCAAGAAGCAGUAAAAUCCACAUCGGAAUUUACAACUACACCAGCAUCUCUGACUGGGCACAACUAACCCAUCCGCUUCAUUAUUCUGGGAUUCCUGAAAGGCCGUUGCAAUUUAAGAAUACUGCAAUGUUUAAAGCAGCUGUAGCCCUAAGAAAAAAAUCUUGUGAUGUACGAGGAAAACAUUUUAUAAUGAUUAUGAAUUGCCAAAGAAGGAAAAAUGAAAUCCACAAAUACCUGGCUAGACAGCGAUAAAGCAGGAAAGGAUUGGGAAUUAUUACGAAUCAACAUUGUGAUGCUGUUGCAAAAAAGACAAAUGCCUGGGAUGUAUUCAUCGGUAUGUAAAACAUGAUGCAGGAAGCACAGAAGAGAAAGAAAAACCCUCAGCGUUUUAGUGAAUCUUGGGACAAAAUUCUUUAUCUGGUGCCAGUAUCUUAUUUUCUGCUUUGUUCACCUCCCUCUUGGAAAAUCCAAAUGAGACUGAUUUAUUAUACAGGGCAAUGCAGACAAAUUGUCCUCAUGGGGGAGAGAGAGUAGUUCCUUUAAUCUUCGACUCUCCAAACAAAUUAUCAUUUCUACUGGAUCCAUUUAUAUACAGUAACUCAUCUUACAUUUUCUUCCUCGCAGACAAAAAACCAUCAGUGUGUGUGGCCGUGACCAGCAUUGGCAGAAAUGCCACAAAUCCCUUUUCACUAAACUUCACGGGGUCAGAGUGGAAGAAACAUCAACUCCUUAACAGAUUACAAUAAAAGCCUGUUUCUCCCUAGUUCUACUCUAAGAUCAUUGUUAUCUGUAAAACUGAACACUGUAGAGACUACCUUACACUCUAUAUACCAUAUAUGAGCUUAGCAAUGCAUAGACCUCAUGCACUGAUUCUAUCAACAGACAAUAGCAUUACCACCUGUCUUUCCCACCCCACCUUACCCCCACUUUAUUUCUUCACACUGAUCACAAAACUAAUCUAGGUAAUCAAAAGCAGUACAGCUACAAGUAAUGAUUUCUCACUCUGGAAGCUGAAGUCUGUCUUGGCAUACACAUUUUUGGGGUGUCCAGAGAUUGGGAAUGGAGAUGUAGAAAGGACCAGUCAUGAACGUUAACAUUUUUGUGACUAAUGAAAAGGACACUUUGCAGCUUGUGUUUAGUCAUCUCUUAAAGUGAUUUGCAUGCUUCUAAGAGCCACUCCACUUUAGAAGUUUGUUAUAGACUGUAGAGUGUCUUUUGAAAUUAGUGUUUAGUAGUAAGAGCAUUUGUCUGCCUAAGUAUUCAAUCUCACAGGCCCUUGGAUAUUUUAGCAUCUGAUGUGCACUUAACUGAGCAGCUGAGUGUUGAAACAACUGAUAUGGAGGAAUGGAUAAUUAGUCUACAGGAGGCCAUCCAGUUUUGAUUAUACUGCACUAAGGUUAAAGACCAGAUUACUCCUUAGAAUUCAAAUCUGGUACUAAAGGAAUUUAUAGAGCUCUACCCAAGCUACUAAGUCUCAGUUUUACUGCAAACAAUGUACACUCAAAAUGAAGUAAAAAUUAAACAUGAAGAAUACAUUAAAAGUUUACUUUUCUUGUUUGGUUUCCCUUCCAUUUUAUCUUUUACUGAAGACCAAUUUUGCCAGUAAAUAAAUACAAACCAUUUGUAAUUUAAGCCAAAUUGCUAAUACAGCAUUCUUUGCAGAAGAUGACCCUAUAUUGCAAUUCUUUAACAAAACGGAUCUGGGAAAAGGCACUGCUUAUGGUACUGAAAACUCAGCCUCAGUGCAAGUUACAUACAAUGCUUCUUAUAACACAGUCUGCUGGGAGCCUUACUUCUUUUCCCCCCCAAAUGUCAUUUGCUACAUUUGUGUUCAGGGAUUUGCCUGGAAUGGGUGAGCAGAGAGUGGUUUGGUUCCUUGCCUAUGUUGUAGGAGAUCCUGGUUCAAAUCCUCCAGCUGCCUGAUCAACAGAGAUUUUCACAGGCCUGGCCUUAGGGUAAGGCAGCUGCCUUCAGCUCUGUGAUACCCA